rnacentral:rRNA from 1 species
AAGCCAACCACAGAAAAAGCCAGCUCAGUUCGGAUUGUAGUCUGCAACCCGACUACAUGAAGCUGGAAUCGCUAGUAAUCGCGAAUCAGAAUGUCGCGGUGAAUACGUUCCCGGGCCUUGUACACACCGCCCGUCACACCAUGGGAGUUUGUAACACCCGAAGUCAGUAUCCUAACCGCAAGGGGGGAGCUGCCGAAGGUGGGAUAAGCGACUGGGGUGAAGUCGUAACAAGGUAUC